CAGCAGCCACGGUAAUACGAAGGGGGCUAGCGUUGUUCGGAAUCACUGGGCGUAAAGGGUGCGUAGGCGGAUUCUUAAGUCAGGGGUGAAAUCCCGAGGCUCAACCUCGGAACUGCCUUUGAUACUGGGGAUCUUGAGUCCGGAAGAGGUGAGUGGAACUGCGAGUGUAGAGGUGAAAUUCGUAGAUAUUCGCAAGAACACCGGUGGCGAAGGCGGCUCACUGGUCCGGAACUGACGCUGAGGCACGACAGCGUGGGGAGCAAACAGGAUUAGAUACCCCAGUAGUCCCUGUCUCUUAUAC
rnacentral:rRNA from 1 species